AUGUACCACUCGUAUGCUCCGGCUCCUGCGCGCCGUCCGUGUCCACCUGGCGACCGCUGGCUACGUUUUUCUGGCU
rfam:Xanthomonas campestris pv. campestris str. ATCC 33913, complete genome.